AUGACUGACUGCGAAGAAGUACCGAAGCAGCGCCUGCUCAUGGUUGAGGAUGAAGACGAUGGGGAUAUAAUGCUGAUGUGCGAGCUAGUGGACGAGGAGGAUCCAGAUGACCACAAUCAGCUAGACACAGGUCCGGUGAGUGCAUCCACGCCAGUGAACCCAGGCGAAGUUCUGUUGUGUCAUCCGCGCAGGAGGAACCGGCGCCCGAUGAUGGUACGUGCGGCACGCCAGGCAGCGCUCGAAUUGCUCGUACCACAUGGGAGCGGCCAGGGAGCUGCGCCAGGCAGUCCACAGCAUGGGCGUGGCCCAAGAAGCCCAAUACUAGGUGCGAGCACAUCUAGCAAGCUGGCUGGCUGGCCUACUCGGAUAUCUUCCGUUGAACAUGAUUUAGUUUUGGAUAUUCUUAAAAUGACCUCAACUUUUGUAGACAGGUGGGAGUGUCCAUAG
rnacentral:rRNA from 1 species